AAAAGUAUCUUCCCCAAGAAAAUCUGGAGUAGGUGUAUCCAGAAUAUAGGAGACUUUUUUCUGAGUGAGAAUAAUUCUCAAGUUCCUUAACUAAUCGACAUAGUUGGAUCCAGUCAACUUGUUUGCAUCUAGGAUACCUCUAAGUGAAAGUGAGGAUGUCAUGAGUGUAGUUAAUCUACAACAACAAGAAUAUAUAUUAGU
rnacentral:lncRNA from 1 species